rnacentral:rRNA from 1 species
CCUACGGGAGGCAGCAGUAGGGAAUUUUCCGCAAUGGGCGGAAGCCUGACGCAGCAACGCCGCGUGAUCGAUUAAGCCCUUCGGGGUGUAAAGAUCUGUCAGUGGAGACGAAACUUAACUGUAACCACAAAGAAAGCACCAGCUAACGCCGUGCACGCAGCCGCGGUAGUACUGAGGGGGCAAGCGUUAGCCUGAAUCAUUGGGCGAAAAGAUAUCGUAGGUGGCAUAGUAAGUCUGGUGUUAAAUGCAAAAGCUCAACUUCUUUUCGGCAAUGGAGAAUGGUACGCUUGAAUGCGCUAGAGGUAGGGGAAUUACUGGUGUAGCGGUGAAAUGCGUAGAUAUAAGGAGGAACACCGGUGGCGUAAGCGCCUUACUGGGCCGUAAUUGACACUGAGGAACGAAAGCGUGGGUAGCAAAUGGGAUUAGAUACCCUAGUAGUC